UUUUGGGUCUAGAGAAACUUUAUAAUGAAAAACAUUUAAGAAUUUACUGUAAAAAAUAUAGUGUGCUUUCCUGUAUAUUAUUAAGCAGCCGUCUUAUUUUUUAUCAACUACAAUACAUCGGUGGGAAAACAUUUCUCAUGAUAUCGGUCAUAUUGAAUAACUAUCCAAUAUCCAAGUCCAUGAGCCCAAAACUCCUUUCUUAAAAACAAUUAACCUUUUCUGCUUUUGGUAGUUGAAACAAAGCCACAUAUUACA
ensembl:lncRNA